AUUGAUUAAACGGAUUCUGAGAACGGUUUAAAUGUUGACGCUGCGCUCGCUAGUCCAGGCUAGCUAGCUUGUAAUCAUUAGGCUAGAGCUAGCUGUACUACUGUAGUGCUUAAAAUAGUUUUAAUUAACCCACAGCUGACGAUACGUCAUCUUCUCCCAUACUGUGAUGGACUGGCAGCAGUAGCACAAAUCUGGCAUGAGUCUCUCCCUCGAACACAGGGCAGGGACAGGCUUACGUCAUGCCAUUUGCACGCACGAUGGCCGCCCAGCCAGACCCGAGGGGUUGGCCCAGGACACACUGAUGGUGCGCCCACCGGAUCGACGGAGCUCUGUGUCAUCAGUUCGCCGGAGGUGCAACAAUAAGGCUUAAUGCGUGAUUAAGUCCCAAAUCACCUCUCAUUAUGAAUCAUUACAGUCAUGUUCUGGAGCCAUGGUGCUGCUCUGAAGCACUGAAGAUCAUUCCUUAAUGUUUGACUAAGCCAGGCACCCAAACCACAGGCAGCAGCUGAAAUGUCAAAAUAGACAUCAUCAUGAAAGGGAAUGUUUAAUGUGUUACAGUUGUAUUUUUUGAAGAGUUAAUAAUUAGAAGCCACCCCUUCUUGUAGAUCAGACGAACAUGUUCAGAUUUGUCUGUUUCUGCAACCAGGAUAAUGGCGG